GGGUCGGUAACUCAGUGGUAGAGUGUAGGAUUGCAGCUCUCUAGCAGUAAAUCCCGAAGUCACCGGUUCGACUCCGGUUCGGCCCU
rnacentral:tRNA from 1 species